rnacentral:rRNA from 1 species
UACGUAGGGUGCGAGCGUUGUCCGGAAUUAUUGGGCGUAAAGAGCUCGUAGGCGGUCUGUCGCGUCUGCUGUGAAAUCCCGAGGCUCAACCUCGGGCUUGCAGUGGGUACGGGCAGGCUAGAGUGCGGCAGGGGAGAAUGGAACUCCUGGUGUAGCGGUGGAAUGCGCAGAUAUCAGGAAGAACACCGAUGGCGAAGGCAGUUCUCUGGGCCGUAACUGACGCUGGAGGAGCGAAAGCGUGGGGAGCGAACAGG